rnacentral:tRNA from 1 species
GCGCGGUUAGCUCAGCGGUAGAGCAACUCGUUUACACCGAGUGGGUCGGCGGUUCAAUCCCGUCACUGCGCACCA